CUUGAACCCAAGUAAACGAUUUAAAAUCAUGAAAGCAAAUGAAUUUAAAACUUUGGGAGAAAAUUCUUGAAUUUAAAUUAAUGCAUCAUCAAAUAUGCCUUACUUCCCUUAAAAAUAUGGCUUUCAAGGGGAAAAUAUCCUUUUUGGAUUCAGCAAGAACUAAAUUAUAAAGAAAUAGGCACCCUUAAACGUUGGUAACAACAACAGUUUAUCUUCGAUUGAUAUUUUUAAUUUGUAAGAUUUCUGUUUGCUAGGAUAGUAGUAAAGUUAAUUUUUUAUUCAUGAAUUCUAAUCGCAAUUUAAUUUUUUGUUAUACUGUAAAAAAUAAGCUAAGUAUAAUCAAAGCAGGAAAUAUUCUGUACUUAGAAACGUGAAGAGAAAUUUCAAAUUACACUUGUAUAAUAAAACCUCUUUCUCUAUGUUUCCAAAGAAAUUUAACAAGGAUUUAUAUUCAAACGAAGAAAAACUGUGACAAAUGGCUAUCGAAAUAUUCCGAUCGUAAAUUCCAAUGUUUAGAUUGUUCUUAUGCAGCUCUAUCAAAUGCAGACUUAAAGAAACAUCUCUUAAUUCACACUGGGGAAAGACCUCAUGUUUGCUCUAUUUGUGGUCAACGGUUUUCUAUUAAAGGGAAUUUGAAAAGACAUAUUGUUACACAUUGGAGAGAUAAUUUAUAUUAACUGUUUUUGUUUAAUUUUUUUAGUAUUAUUUGUAUUUUAUGUAUAUAUUUCAAAUUGUAUAUAAUAUACACAUUUAUUUUAUUUUUUUUAAGUUUGAUACAUGUUAUUAAAAAAAUUUUUGCAAAAUUUCUUAAAUAAUUUGAAAUAAAUGAGUUUGUUGAAGCUUUUACUUAAAGCAAUAAGGUCCAGAAGGUUCAAGAUUUUGUUAUGGAUUUCUUAUUGUAAUCCGUUUAUAGAAAUUUUAUAUGAUGAAACUUCUAUCAUCUUUUAAAAGAUGCUACAAAAUUCAAACUUGGCUUUAAAAAAAAAGCUUUUUUAAACAUCAUCAAUUUUAAGUAUUUUAUAUUCAUUUAGUAUAUCUUUUUAAUUAUUUGCUUUUAUUUUGACAAAAUCUUAUUAUAAAACUGAGAUGUUUUUAUUAUACUAAAGAUGCUUAUUUGCAUUCUAAAAUGAAUAUAUUUUUUUACUGUAAUUACUAUAAAGCAAAAAUUCUAUUAACUUUUGUUUGAUAUGGUUAACUAAGGCCCCAUCAUGAUCACUUUGUUGACAAACCCAUGUGAUCAGUACUCUUUUCUUUUUUUUUAGCAAUAAACAUAUAAUUUUACAUUGUAAUUUGUCGUUUAAAUAAAUAAAAGAGCUAAAAAAAAUUUUUGUAUUAGCAUAGAUAUAGUUUUUUAUUCAAUUAGUAUAAAAUUCCAACUUAAUAAAUUUUUCUUGUUUAUUCAUUACAACUUCAACUACAAAUUUGGUUUACAAAAUAAAACAAAUAAAUGUUAAUUCGCAAAAAGAUAAUUUAGCAAUUGUGUGAAAGGUUGAUUCCUAAUAUUAUUUCAAAUUGAUAUUUUAUGUUCACUAUUGUAAUUGAAUGCGUUGAUAAUGGACUGUUUUGUUUAAAAUUUGUUCUAAAACUAAAUUGAACUGAUUAGAACCAUCAAAAGAUAUGAACAGUUUAUAAGCUUAAUGUUAGAAACAUACAUUUGUGUUUGUUCUUGAAAUAAAAUAUUAGUCAGGAUAGUUUUCAGAACUGUCUGACUAUAUUUAUUACAACAGUCUCUCUUUUUAUUCGUCAUAUUUUCGUUUCAUAUAUUUGCUCUUUGUUGUGAUUUACCAGUUUUUUAUUGGGGCACAUUGGAGGAUUGAUAAACCUCACUUGGAUAAUUUUUAACUUAAAAACAUAAUCGCUAUGUGAAAAUUAAAAAUUGAAGCUAAUUGUAUUUCUCAUUUAUCUCAAAAUAUUCUUAAAUAAAUGUUAGCAUUUUUGCAACUAUUAAGUUCUUCUCAAAUAUGAAAAAAAAUAUAUAUAUAUAUAUUUCUCAAUUUGAUUUUUUUAAUUGUCUUUUUUAUUAAUUAAUUCAAACUGCCAAUUAGAAAUAAUGUCAUAACCUCAUGAAAUUUGUAUUUCUUAUAGGGGUUUCUGAUCCAGAAUACAUAGAUGUAGAUGAUGUAACAGUCAUAGCUAUUGGUCAUGAAAAAUCUGCUUCUGUUAAAGAUCUAGGAGCAACAGUGAUGCUCAGUAAACACAGAAAAAGAAAUUGAAAACCGGAAGUACAUUGACAAUAUAGCAUUAGGGAAUUUUAGUAAGAUACAGUUUGAAUGCUUGCUUUGUCCUUAUUCAUCUGAGCAUUACAUUGAAAUAAGGAAACAUAUUGCAAUCCACAAUCAAUUAAUUUGCAGUUCUUGUGGAAAGUCUUUUAGCAAUAAAGAAACUUUAAAAACUCACAUGAUUUAUCACACUGGCAAUCAAUCAUUUGAAUGUGAUUUAUGCCCAUUGAAAUUCUCACAUUGGUAUUCUCAUUAUAUUCAUCGAGUUAAUAAAAUUUCUCAACGUGCAAAGACCAAGUCAUUUGAUUGUCAACUAUGUUCUUAUAAGUCACCUUACAGAUGGUACCUCAAAAGACACUUACUGACGCAUACUGGAGAACGUCCACAUGCUUGCCAUAUGUGUAAUCAAAGAUUUGCUCUGAAAGAAAAUCUUAAAAAGCACUAUUUGGUGCAUUUUAAGAUUAUGUGAAAAGUAUGAUGUUUGUUAUGUAUUGAGUGAAAAUAUGUAAAAUAAACAACCGAGUAAGCUGUAAUAUUUUUGAGAAAAAUACUGAGUUUGUCGCGGCUAUUACUUAAAGUUUCCUAUAUCAUCUUGGUCAAGGUAUAAAACUUUUUUUCAUGAUGGUUAGAGCAUCUAACUGUAAUUUUAAAGAACCUUGGUUUGUUCCCUGUCUGUGACCUGUAAACAUCUCUCAACCUUCGUUUAAAAACUUUUAUUGCUUUAAAAGUUUUCAACAAUUGUGUUUAGCCUUCAAAAUUUGUCAUAAUAAGAAAAAUAUAAUUACGUAUUAUCAUUUAUUUAAAUAAAAUAGGUUAAUUUAAAAAGUAUGUUAAAUGUGAUCGUGAACAAAAAUUUGUUCGGUUUUGAAGCAGUGUAACUAUUUUUCUGCAUCAUAUAAAGCAAUGUAAGAUUUUAAAUAUAAAGUAAGCACAUGCAUCUGAGCUCUUACUUUUAAUUUGAACAAAUAUGAACAAUAAAUAAAUUAAUUCAUUGUUUUCCGCUGGUGAUGAUACUUGUUUCUUUUAUUUGUAAUGGUGCUUAACAAGAUCACUGUUUCCCCAAAUAAAAUACAUAUGUGAAAAAUUGACAUCUAUGAACACACGCUAUCUUCUGUGAGAUUACUAAAACUGCAAAAAGCAUCAGAAGCUUACGAAGUGCAACAGGUGCUUACAAAGAUAGAUGAUAGUACUUAUUUAUCACAUAAAAAUAUAUGUUUUAUUUUUGCUUUUAAUGGGCAACAUAUAAUUUUCUAAGUUAAUCUUGUUAGUGAAUAGUUAAUCGUGAGUAAUCUAAGAAUCUUGUGAUAUGAAGCAAUUGUUUCAUUGAUAAUAAUUUCCGUUUUUUUUUUUUUUAGUUAUCUAAAAUUAUUUUAUUCAUCCUUUCUUGUUUCGAUUAAAUUAUAAUGUGUUUAAUCUAAAUUUACUUCUUAUUAAAAUUACUUUCUUUUUAGACUUAGUAAGCUUCAUUUAAAUGUUAUUUUACUAUAAAUACUAGGAUCACUAAUUAUAUCUAUGCAACUUAAUACAAAAGAAAUCUGAAAUGUCUUAAAGAGUUUAAUUUUUUUUAAAAGUCUUAAAAGAAGGCAAAGUUUGUAAAAUAGUCAAAGGAAAGUCAUGGAAUACUUAUGCUAGAAAAGGUGAAAAUCAUCAGAAUAAAAAAGCAAUUAGAGUAAGUAAAGAAUACCUGUCAAGAAGAAUAACAUAAUAAAAGAUGAUUUUAUAGAACCGUGAACAGAGGGCUAUUGAGUCGAUGAAGAAAUUGAACUACUUUUAAGUAGAAAAAAUAAUUAAUAAAGAAUUGAAAGAUUGCAGAUAACAACAUAUGUUUUAUUUUAUUUUUAAAUACACGAAUUUCAU